rnacentral:lncRNA from 1 species
AACAACUACCUCCAAGAGCAGCUCUGUUCCUUAAUGAAAUCAGUCGAAAACCAGCCAUCAAACGAACCCUGAAACAACCACCAAACACAACACAUUUCUCUACUGAAAAACAGCCCAAAAGUCCAUGAAAAUCAAUCAUUAAAGUCAAGACAAAAUCCAGCAGAAAUCACUUCAAAACAGUCCGAAUCUCAGUCCCUUUUCACGCAAAAAAAAAAAU